rnacentral:rRNA from 1 species
AACGAACGCUGGCGGCAUGCCUAACACAUGCAAGUCGAACGAGACCUUCGGGUCUAGUGGCGCACGGGUGCGUAACGCGUGGGAACCUGCCCUUAGGUUCGGAAUAACUCCCCGAAAGGGGUGCUAAUACCGGAUAAUGUCUUCGGACCAAAGAUUUAUCGCCUUUGGAUGGGCCCGCGUUGGAUUAGCUAGUUGGUAGGGUAAAAGCCUACCAAGGCGAGGAUCCAUAGCUGGUCUGAGAGGAUGAUCAGCCACACUGGGACUGAGACACGGCCCAGACUCCUACGAGAGGCAGCAGUGGGGAAUAUUGGACAAUGGGCGAAGGCCUGAUCCAGCAAUGCCGCGUGAGUGAUGAAGGCCUUAGGGUUGUAAAGCUCUUUUACCCGGGAUGAUAAUGACAGUACCGGGAGAAUAAGCUCCGGCUAACUCCGUG